AUCCUGGCUCAGGAUGAACGCUAGCGACAGGCUUAACACAUGCAAGUCGAGGGGCAGCACGGUGUAGCGAUACACUGGUGGCGACCGGCGCACGGGUGAGUAACACGUGUGCAACCAACCCCGUACCGGGAGAUAACCCGCGGAAACGUGGACUAACAUCCCAUGACACUCUAGAGCCGCAUGGCUCUAGAUUUAAAAUUCCGGUGGUACGGGACGGGCACGCGCGACAUUAGGUAGUUGGCGGGGUAAGGGCCC
rnacentral:rRNA from 1 species